AAGGAAAAAUUGAUAUAAAAAGGCUAAAGUAUUGCUCAUCUUCCAUAAAAGGUCCAAACAAUUGAUUAUUAUUCGAAGGUACCAACUUUUAAUACCAUUUGACAAAACAAGUUCCCUUAACCUGUUUACCUUCUACUGCAGAUUCACUUCUUGUUCUAUCCUACCUCUUUCUCUCUCUUAACAUUUCUUCCACCAUUCAUUCUACCAAGAUCUUGAAGCGUUGAAGAUGGCGAAUCCGCAAGGGUCAUGAGCUUCAUCUUCAAGUGUUGGGGAAACAACUGUACAAUGUGGGUAUGGGAUGCCUAGCAAAAUUCGAACUGUGACCAAAGAUAACCGAAAUUUUGGGAAAAAAUUUCGUGGUUGUGGGAAGUAUCUGGUGAGUAAAUUUCAUUUUUUUCGUUGAAUUUAGGUAAAAUCUAAAAGCUUAAUCUGUUUUGAAGUACAAUUACUUUCGAUUUAAGGUUUAAUUGGGUAUGUUUUUUGAUUUAUAUUGAAAUUCAUCUGAGUUAGGUGCGAAUUAGGGCUUCGAAUUAGUUUAAUUUGUUUUGAUAUUAUUGGUUCUUAUUAAUUAUCAAUUAGGUCAAAUUCUUCUUGUUUGAUUGGAUUGGAAGCGCAAUGGAGUGAUUAUCCAAUUGUAAGUACUGAUUGUGAAUUGGACUUGUUAUAAUGUCUACUAAUUGCAGGCUUUCUGUAGUGUUUUUUUUACUGGGUUUAUGAAGAAGGUGAAUGUGUUGGUUAUGGCAAUGUAACACAGAGAUUAGAUACAUUAGAGAAGGACGUGGAAGCAAUGUCAGAUAAGCUGAAAAGGGCCACUGCCAAGAAGAAUACACUAAAAAAGUCUAAUGAAGAACUGACCAUGGACAGAUUCAAGAACUGUAUGCAGAAGAUAAUGGAUUUGGCUGCUUUAGUCUUGACUCGGGCUUUGAUUGUCAUAAAUUGGUAUGCUUAGUAUAUGAUUAUGGUGUAUAGUUUAGGGAUUGUUUUAGAUGGUAGAUUUGGAUAGAAUAAGAAUUUUUGAAGCAGUUAAACUUAUGUCUUUUGGCAAUAAGAGUUAAGAGCUUUUAUAUGUUUUGCAGAUUGAAUCAUUUUGUAUGGUUUUGAAAUGAAAAGAUCAAUGAUAUUGCUCACAUUUGGAGAA